GAUGAACGCUGGCGGCGUGCUUAACACAUGCAAGUCGAACGGUGAACACGGAGCUUGCUCUGUGGGAUCAGUGGCGAACGGGUGAGUAACACGUGAGCAACCUGCCCCUGACUCUGGGAUAAGCGCUGGAAACGGCGUCUAAUACUGGAUAUGUGACGUGACCGCAUGGUCUGCGUUUGGAAAGAUUUUUCGGUUGGGGAUGGGCUCGCGGCCUAUCAGCUUGUUGGUGAGGUAAUGGCUCACCAAGGCGUCGACGGGUAGCCGGCCUGAGAGGGUGACCGGCCACACUGGGAUUGAGACACGGCCCAGACUCCUACGGGAGGCAGCAGUGGGGAAUAUUGCACAAUGGGCGAAAGCCUGAUGCAGCAACGCCGCGUGAGGGAUGACGGCCUUCGGGUUGUAAACCUUUUUUAGCAGGGAAGAAGCGAAAGUGACGGUACCUGCAGAAAAAGCGCCGGCUAACUACGU
rnacentral:rRNA from 1 species